UUUUGCAAUAUUGAUUGAACAUUGCAAAAAGUUCAAAAGAUUUUACUUUUUGCAACAUUCAAUCAACGUUGCGAAA
rnacentral:miRNA from 1 species